AUUGAACGCUGGCGGCAGGCCUAACACAUGCCAGUCGAGCGGAUGAAGGGAGCUUGCUCCUGGAUUCAGCGGCGGACGGGUGAGUAAUGCCUAGGAAUCUGCCUGGUAGUGGGGGAUAACGUCCGGAAACGGGCGCUAAUACCGCAUACGUCCUGAGGGAGAAAGUGGGGGAUCUUCGGACCUCACGCUAUCAGAUGAGCCUAGGUCGGAUUAGCUAGUUGGUGGGGUAAAGGCCUACCAAGGCGACGAUCCGUAACUGGUCUGAGAGGAUGAUCAGUCACACUGGAACUGAGACAUGGUCCAGACUCCUACGGGAGGCAGCAGUGGGGAAUAUUGGACAAUGGGCGAAAGCCUGAUCCAGCCAUGCCGCGUGUGUGAAGAAGGUCUUCGGAUUGUAAAGCACUUUAAGUUGGGAGGAAGGGCAGUAAGUUAAUACCUUGCUGUUUUGACGUUACCAACAGAAUAAGCACCGGCUAACUUCGUG
rnacentral:rRNA from 1 species